rnacentral:rRNA from 1 species
AGAGUUUGAUCAUGGCUCAGAUUGAACGCUGGCGGCAUGCUUACACAUGCAAGUCGAACGGGGUAGCAAUACCUAGUGGCGAACGGUGAGUAAUGCAUCGGAACGUAUCCUCUUGGUGGGGAUAACCCACCGAAAGGUGGGCUAAUACCGCAUAAGCUCUGAGGAGGAAAGCGGGGGACCGAAAGGCCUCGCGCAGGAGGAGCGGCCGAUGUCCGAUUAGCUAGUUGGUGGGGGUAAAGGCCCACCAAGGCGACGAUCGGUAGCUGGUCUGAGAGGAUGAUCAGCCACACUGGGACUGAGACACGGCCCAGACUCCUACGGGAGGCAGCAGUGGGGAAUUUUGGACAAUGGGGGCAACCCUGAUCCAGCCAUGCCGCGUGAGUGAAGAAGGCCUUCGGGUUGUAAAGCUCUUUCGGACGGAACGAAAUUGCCUGGACCAAUACUCUGGGUAGAUGACGGUACCGUAAGAAGAAGCACCGGCUAACUACGUG